rnacentral:rRNA from 1 species
GGAGUCUAGCAUGUGCGCAAGUCAUUGGGACUUGAAUAAACCUAAAGGCAUAAUGAAAGUGAAGGUCCGCCUCGCGCGGACCAAGGGAGGAUGGGUGGCAAUUACCGUUGCCGCUCCGCACUCCCGGGGCGUCUCGUUCUCAUCGCGAGAAGAGGCGCACCAAGAGCGUACACGCUGGGACCCGAAAGAUGGUGAACUAUGCCUGGUCAGGACGAAGUCAGGGGAAACCCUGAUGGAGGUCCGUAGCGAUUCUGACGUGCAAAUCGAUCGUCGGAACUGGGUAUAGGGGCGAAAGACUAAUCGAACCAUCUAGUAGCUGGUUCCCUCCGAAGUUUCCCUCAGGAUAGCUGGCGCUCGUUGCGUACGAGUUUCAUCCGGUAAAGCGAAUGAUUAGAGGCAUUGGGGUCGAAACGGCCUCAACCUAUUCUCAAACUUUAAAUGGGUGAGAUCUCCGGCUUGCUCGAACUAAUGAAGCCGCGAGACUCGAAUCAGAGUGCCAAGUGGGCCAUUUUUGGUAAGCAGAACUGGCGCUGUGGGAUGAACCAAACGCAGAGUUAAAGCGCCAAAAUCGACGCUUAUGGGAUACCAUGAAAGGCGUUGGUAACUUAAGACAUCAGGACGGUGGCCAUGGAAGUC